rnacentral:rRNA from 1 species
CCUAGGGAGGCAGCAGUGGGGAAUCUUCCACAAUGGACGAAAGUCUGAUGGAGCAACGCCGCGUGAGUGAAGAAGGCUUUCGGGUCGUAAAACUCUGUCUUCAGGGACGAAUGUGCGAAUCGUGAAUAAUGAUUUGCAAUGACGGUACCUGAGGAGGAAGCCACGGCUAACUACGUGCCAGCAGCCGCGUAAU